GUGUUCAGCAUUACAUACACUAAAAUUGAAAUGAUACAGAAAAGAUUAGCAUGGCCCCUAAGCAAGGAUGACAUGCAAAUUUGUGAAGCAUUAUAUUUAUAU